GUGUCCUGCUCGCUCCAUGUUGCCGCCUCUCCCGGUACCUGCUGCUGCUCCCGGGGCUUCGGGAAAUGCGAGAGUCUGAGCCGGGGAGGAGGAACCCGAGCAGCGGCGGCGGCGGCCGCGGCGGCGGGAGCCCCCCAAGAGGAGGACCGGGAUCCAUGUGUCUUUCCUGGUGACUAGGAUGUCGUCGGAGGAGAACAAGUGCGUGGAGCAGCCGCAGCCACCACCCCCCGAGGAGCCUGGAGCCCCGGCCCCGAGCCCCCCAGCCGCAGACAAAAGACCUCGGGGCCGGCCUCGCAAGGCGCUUCCCCUUUCCAGAGAGCCAGAAAGAAACUAUUUGGAGUUUUCCUGGUCUUACUGGAUGUCACUCUCGUCCUUGCCGACCUAAUUUUCACUGACAGCAAACUUUAUAUUCCUUCGGAGUAUCGUUCUAUUUCUCUAGCUAUUGCCUUAUUUUUUCUCAUGGAUGUUCUUCUUCGAGUAUUUGUAGAAGGCUCAUCCACACCGCUCAGCACGAAGGCCUUGUUCUCAGGGGCCUGCUUCUCAAUGAGGCGGAUCUGCUUGAGGUUGGCAUGGGGCCCAAUGCCCACCGGGAUCACGAUGACCUUCUUCUUCUUCAGGCCCUGGACGUAGCGGACAAAGUUCCGGGACAUCCGUUGGGGCUCCUGGCUGGCCAUCAGGAGCAGGGCGAUGCGGAAGGCUUCAGGGCGGUCGAUCUUGCUGAUGAUUUGGAACAGUGUGUAUUUCAAGGCCUCGCUGGUGGAGGCCACCUGGCUGCCCGCAUACUUCACCUGGCUGGCAACGCGCCGCAGCUCUGACGGUCGCUUCCGGUCCUUGAGCCCGAUGUAGGCGUGGGAGCCGUCGUGGUACUCCACCACAGCCACGCGGACCCACUUCUAGGAGAUGCGCAGCCGCUCCAUCAUGUCCACCACAAAGGCCUUCAGCACUUCAAACUCAGCCUCGGACAGCCUGGAGGAGCCAUCCAGCAGGAAGAUCAGGUCCAGUAGCCUGCUGCAGUAGAAAUCGUGCAACAGCGGUUCUGAGAUGUCCUCCACAUACAGAGUGGUGGGGCUCACCGGGGCAUCUGUGGGAGGUACCACCAGGCCUCCCGGCUCCUGGCAGGCUUCACAGGUGAGGGUGACACCAUCACAGUGGCUGCAGAAAAGAGCGAAGAAAUUAAAAUGGUUCAGAAAGAACCUAUGGACACUUCUGAGCCCUACAGUGUAUGACUACUUCCAUAUUCCCACAGAAUCUCCUCUGUUCCACCUGAACUUGAGAUCCCACGGACCAUUCCACACCCAAGUGAGAUGUCACUGUUUAACAUCUGUCCCCAAAUAGCAUGCCCCCCCACUUCAAAACACACACAUAGCCGACUUCCUUUGAUUCUAGAAACCAAAGCUUUAGCCCAUCCUAGGAUAUGAAAAAAUAUACUCGUUGUUCUAGGCCAUCCACACAGCCACUCAAAGCUGAUUUCUUUUCAACCUACAUCUUUAGCAACAUGAAUACUUAAUUAUAAUCUAAGCCUUCUUACAAGUGUCUCCAAGAACAAAUGUUACUAAAAUGUAGACGCUAACCUGUGCUUGUACAUGUUCUGUUGAAGAUAAAUGCUUUACAGUACAUAUUCUAACAGAAUGUAAAUUGCAUGAGUUUUAAAACAUGUUUAAUACGUUGGGCCCUAACGAAGAGAGAAAAAAUUGGAGCAAAAACAUUGUGGAAAGAUGAAUAAAGAUUCAAAACCCCA
ensembl:lncRNA TPTEP1 TPTE pseudogene 1